rnacentral:rRNA from 1 species
AAAACCCCGCAAGGGGUUAGUAGAGUGGCAAACGGGUGAGUAACGCGUGGGUGACCUGCCUUCGAGCGGGGGAUAACGUUCCGAAAGGGACGCUAAUACCGCAUAACAUCCUGCCUUUGAAGAGGUGGAGAUCAAAGCUAGGGAUCGCAAGACCUGGCACUUGAAGAGGGGCCCGCGUCUGAUUAGCUAGUUGGUGAGGUAACGGCUCACCAAGGCUUCGAUCAGUAUCCGGCCUGAGAGGGCGGACGGACACACUGGGACUGAGACACGGCCCAGACUCCUACGGGAGGCAGCAGUGGGGAAUUGUUCGCAAUGGGCGCAAGCCUGACGACGCAACGCCGCGUGGAGGAUGAAGAUUUUCGGAUCGUAAACUCCUGUCGAAUGGGACGAAAAGAUUGCGGGUUAACAGCCCGUAGUCCUGACGGUACCGUUAAAGGAAACCCCGGCUAACUCCGUGCCAGCAGCCGCGGUAAUACGGGGGGGGUAAGCGUUGUUCGGAAUUACUGGGCGUAAAGGGCUCGUAGGCGGCCAACUAAGUCAGACGUGAAAUCCCUCAGCUUAACUGGGGAACUGCGUCUGAUACUGGAUGGCUUGGAUUCGGGAGAGGAAUGCGGAAUUCCAGGUGUAGCGGUGAAAUGCGUAGAUAUCUGGAGGAACACCGGUGGCGAAGGCGGCAUUCUGGACCGACAUUGACGCUGAGGAGCGAAAGCCAGGGGAGCAAACGGGAUUAGAUACCCCGGUAGUCCUGGCCCUAAACGAUGAAAGCUUGGUGUGGCGGGUAUCGAUCCCUGCCGUGCC